AUGAUACUCCCUCCGUCCGGAAAUACUUGUCAUCAAAAUGGAUGUAUCUACAACUAAAAUACAUCUAGAUACAUCCAUUUCAAUGACAAGUAUUUCCGGACGGAGGGAGUACCGG
rnacentral:pre_miRNA from 1 species